rnacentral:piRNA from 1 species
UGAACUAAAUCAAAAAGUGCAGUCCAAA